rnacentral:lncRNA from 1 species
UUUCAUAAAUCAAUUUGAUUGAUAGUGAACCACAUCAAGUUCCACUCUCUCUCGCUCUCUCUCUCUCUCUCGCUCUCUAGUGAACCAUGGGAAGUUUCCUAAGCAGGAGGACUCGUAUGUGUUCGAGGAGGACAGCAGCAGUGGCAGUCUGUCUCCAGAGCAACACCACAGUGAUGAGUCACAGGGGUCCGCAUGCCUAAGUGCAGCACCAGCCCUCAAUAGCCCUAAACCGGUUGCUCUGGAAUUCAUGAGACUGGUAUCUGUGGACCUCAAGAAGAUAUUCUUUCCAAGCUCCUUGAAUUCUACCGGGCCAAGAGCGAUGGAGGGAUGGAGCUAAAACAGCUUAUGAAGACAACUGAUUCUGAGGAAGUCACCCAUGGAGUGAAAAUACACUUGUCGUUGUGGAUG